rnacentral:rRNA from 1 species
CUGCAACCCCUCGUCGACGCGGUGGCCGGCCGACUCCCUUCAUGGAAGGCAUGGCUAAUGAACAAGGCCGGAUGGCUGGCACUCGUCAAGUCGGUCCUCAGCGCGAUCCCGAUUCAUCAGCUGCUCGCACUCUUGCCACCGAAGAAAACCCUUAAGCAGCUCGAGAAGAUCCAACGUGGGUUCCUUUGGGCCGGCCGAGAUGAUGCCCACGAUGGCCACUGCCACGUGAACUGGCGCCGGGUCUGCCGCCCGCUUGAUUAUGGCGGCCUUGGCGUCCGAGACAUGGAGCGCACGGGGCUCUUGUUACGACUGCGCUGGCUAUGGCUCGCGCGCACGGACACUGAGCGAGCAUGGCAUGGUCUGGACCUACAGUUCACUCCAGAGGAGCGCGCACUCUUUUACGCUUCCAUGACCAUGGCCAUUGGGGACGGCAGGACCGCCCUGUUCUGGGAGGAUCGC